rnacentral:rRNA from 1 species
ACGAACGCUGGCGGCGUGCUUAACCCAUGCAAGUCGAACGGGUCUGCCCUGUUUUUUGCGGGGUGGGUCAGUGGCGAACGGGUGAGUAACACGUGAGUAACCUGCCCCUCACUUCUGGAUAACCGCUUGAAAGGGUGGCUAAUACGGGGUGUUCUGGCUGUGCCGCAUGGUGUGGCUGGGAAAGAUUCACUUUUGUGGUGUUUUGGUGGGGGAUGGGCUCGCGGCCUAUCAGCUUGUUGGUGGGGUGAUGGCCUGCCAAGGCUUUGACGGGUAGCCGGCCUGAGAGGGUGGGCGGUCACACUGGGACUGAGAUACGGCCCAGACUCCUGCGGGAGGCAGCAGUGGGGGGUAUUGCACAAUGGGCGGAAGCCUGAUGCAGCGACGUCGCGUGAGGGAUGGAGGCCUUCGGGUUGUGAACUUCUUUUGCCGGUGAAGAAGGUCCUGCUCUUUGUGGUGGGGUUGACGGUAGCCGGGUUAUGAAGCGCCGGCUAACUACGUG